CCAACGUGUGCGCGAGUCUCUGGGUUAUCAAACCCAAAGGCGUAAUCAAGGUGAAGGGGAAUUACCUCUUCCCCCAGGGAGGACGGGGGCUUGCUCUUCACGGGCGGCCCUCCGCACUCCCGGGGCGUCUCGCGCUCAUUGCGAGUGGAGGCGCACCUAGAGCGUUCACGUUGGGACCCGAAAGAUGGUGAACUAUGCCUGGCCAGGACGAAGCCAGGGGAAACCCUGGUGGAGGUCCGUAGCGGUUCUGACGUGCAAAUCGAUCGUCAAAUUUGGGUAUAGGGGCGAAAGACUAAUCGAACCAUCUAGUAGCUGGUUCCCUCCGAAGUUUCCCUCAGGAUAGCUGUCGCCCAUGUUGAGACGAGUCUCAUCUGGUAAAGCGAAUGAUUAGAGGCAUUGGGGUCGAAACGACCUCAACCUAUUCUCAAACUUUAAAUGGAUGAGAACCCCGACUUGCUUGACUUGUUGAGUGAAGUCGGGGCUCGGAUCCGGGCCACAAGUGGGCCAAUUUUGGUAAGCAGAACUGGCGCUGUGGGAUGAACCAAACGCCGAGUUAAGGCGCCUAAAUCGACGCUCAUCAGACACCAUGAAAGGCGUUGGUUGCUUAAAAGUGGCGCUUUAGGUGGGCGAAAGGGAAUCCGGUCUCUAUUCCGGAACCUGGCCAGCGGUACCGUUCCAAGUCGGGCCCUCAGACGAGGACUCGUCGGGGUAACCAUAAAGGACCCGGAGAAGCCGUCGGGAGAUCCAGGGAGAGUUGUCUCUUCUCUAUAAGCAAUCGAGUUCCCUGAAAAUCUCUCGCAGAGAGAUAGGGUUCGGAGCGCAAAGAGCACCGCAGUUACGGCGGUGUCUGGAUCUUCCCCUCGGACCUUGAAAAUUCGGGUGAGGGCUACGAGGAACACCGCGCCAGACCGUACCCAUAUCCGCAGCAGGUCUCCAAGGUCAAAAGCCUCUAGUCGUUAGAAUAAUGUGGGUAAGGGAAGUCGGCAAACUGGAUCCGUAACCUUGGGAUAAGGAUUGGCUCUGAGGAACGUGGUGAGCCGGGCUUGGUUGGGAAGUGGAGCGGUGUCAACGAUCCGGGCCUGGGCGAGGAGAAGCGGGGGAAAACAAGUCGUUUGUUCGGCGUGUUUUUUUUCCCGACGAUCCUCCGCUCGGUCCCGCGACUUGGCCACCCACGGACCUUCCUUGCUGCGAGCUGCAGGCCGCCUAGCCACCGGUUUCGACCGGAGGGCGGGCCUGCUGUCUCUUCGGCCACCGAUUAACGUUCGGCUCAGAACUGGCACUGACCAGGGGAAUCCGACUGUCUAAUUAAAACAAAGCAUUGCGAUGGCCCCAGCGGGUGUUGACGCAAUGUGAUUUCUGCCCAGUGCUCUGAAUGUCAACGUGAAGAAAUUCAAUAAAGCGCGGGUAAACGGCGGGAGUAACUAUGACUCUCUUAAGGUAGCCAAAUGCCUCGUCAUCUAAUUAGUGACGCGCAUGAAUGGAUUAACGAGAUUCCCGCUGUCCCUACUUACUAUCUAGCGAAACCACAGCCAAGGGAACGGGCUUGGAAAAAUCAGUGGGGAAAGAAGACCCUGUUGAGCUUGACUCUAGUCUGGAACUGUAAGGAGACAUGAGAGGUGUAGCAUAAGUGGGAGGUGUUGCUCGUCUUCACCGACAGUGAAAUACCACUACUUUCAUAGUUUCCUUACUUACUCGGUGAGGCGGAGGGCGUCCGUCGCUGGCCUCCCGGCCACGGCGAGACGGUCUUCUUGCGCCAAGCGCGGGGGUUGGCGCCUGCCUCCUGUAGCGUCGGUUUCCCGGCUGGUCGCGAGAGCCUUGCAGGUUCUAACGGCCCGAGUGGAAGUCCGGCGCGAUCCAGGAGCGUUUGGUUAGCCAACGUACUCCUCGGCGUGAUCCGAUCCGAGGACACUUCCAGGUCGAUAGUUUGACUGGGGCGGUACAUCUGUCAAACAAUAACGCAGGUGUCCUAAGGCCAGCUCAGCGAGGACAGAAACCUCGCGUAGAGCAAAAGGGCAAAAGCUGGCUUGAUCCCGAUGCUCAGUACGCAUAGGGACUGCGAAAGCACGGCCUAUCGAUCCUUUUGGCUUGGAGAGUUUCCAGCAAGAGGUGUCAGAAAAGUUACCACAGGGAUAACUGGCUCGUGGCGGCCAAGCGUUCAUAGCGACGUCGCUUUUUGAUCCUUCGAUGUCGGCUCUUCCUAUCAUUGCGGAGCAGAAUCCGCCAAGCGUCGGAUUGUUCACCCGCCAAUAGGGAACGUGAGCUGGGUUUAGACCGUCGUGAGACAGGUUAGUUUUACCCUUCUGAUGACUAAAACAUUUCAUUGCAACGGUAAUCCUGCUCAGUACGAGAGGAACCGCAGAUUCGGACAUUUGGUUAUGCACUCGGUCGACAGGCCGGUGGUGCCAGGCUAUCAUCCGCGGGAUUAUGCCUGAACGCCUCUAAGGCCGAAUCCCGCCUGAUAGCCCUGACACUUUUAGGGGUCCCAUGGGUCGAAAGGCUCAAACCAAUGUGAAACUGUAGGUGGUCCCGGUUCGUCCGGGCCAUCGCACGAGCCAUAUUACCGGAGGGGUCCUCGCGCGGGUUUUCCCCGGACUAGAGUCCGGGAAAACCCCGACCUCACCGGCUAACAUGGGUCACCCUAACGGGAGUUCGAUGUUGGGACCCGGAGCCGUCUGUAGACGACUUAGGUACCGACGCGGGGUGUUGUACUCGGUAGAGCAGUUACCACGCUGCGAUCUGUUGAGACUUCUCCCCGGCUCGGUGGUUCGG
rnacentral:rRNA from 1 species